rnacentral:rRNA from 12 species
AAGCAAGCUUAAGCCGAUAGGUGUAGGCGUAGCGAAAGCGAGUCUUAAUAGGGCGAAUAGUUUGUUGCAUUAGACCCGAAACCAAGUGAUCUAGCCAUGAGCAGGUUGAAGGUUGGGUAACACCAACUGGAGGACCGAACCCAUACACGUUGCAAUGUGUCGGGAUGACUUGUGGCUAGGGGUGAAAGGCCAAUCAAACUCGGAAAUAGCUGGUUCUCCGCGAAAUCUAUUUAGGUAGAGCGUCGACCGAAUACCCUCGGGGGUAGAGCACUGGAUGGGCUAUGGGGGCUU